rnacentral:rRNA from 1 species
GACGAACGCUGGCGGCGUGCCUAAUACAUGCAAGUCGAACGAAGCUGUUUUGACGGUGCUUGCACCUAAUUGACGAGACAUUGGAAUGAGUGGCGGACGGGUGAGUAACACGUGGGUAACCUGCCCAGAUGCGGGGGAUAACAUUUGGAAACAGAUGCUAAUACCGCAUAAAAGUCAAAACCACAUGGUUUUGAUUUAAAAGAUGGCCUUUGUGCUAUCACUUCUGGAUGGACCCGCGGCGUAUCAGCUAGUUGGUAAGGUAAUGGCUUACCAAGGCAAUGAUACGUAGCCGAACUGAGAGGUUGAUCGGCCACAAUGGGACUGAGACACGGCCCAUACUCCUACGGGAGGCAGCAGUAGGGAAUCUUCCACAAUGGGCGCAAGCCUGAUGGAGCAACACCGCGUGAGUGAAGAAGGGUUUCGGCUCGUAAAACUCUGUUGUUAAAGAAGAACGUAUCUAAGAGUAACUGCUUAGGUAGUGACGGUAUUUAACCAGAAAGCCACGGCUAACUACGUGCCAGCAGCCGCGGUAA